rnacentral:misc_RNA from 1 species
AGAACAAGGAGAUGAACGGAGAAUGACUAGCUAACAUAAAUUUCAAUGACAUAACGAACACUAUGCAUCUACAUAUUCAUCAUUCGUUCAUGAAACUGGAUGUUAGAAGGGCGCGGAGCUUGUUCUGCGCAGCUGAUACUUAGGCUCUGGAAGUGGAACACUCGGUAACACCUGCUCUAUCUCCUUCUGUCUCUUGAGCCUUUCAUUCUCUUCUUCGAGGCGUGAAACCUUGUUCUCCAGCUCAUGGGUGUAAGCCUG